rnacentral:SRP_RNA from 1 species
GCUGGGCAUAGUGGUGCAUGCCUGUAGUCCCAGCUACUUGGGAGGCUGAGGCAGGAGAAUUGCUUGAACCCAGGAGGCGGAGGCUGCAGUGAGCUGAGAUCAUGCCACUGCACUGCAGCCUGGGUGACAGAGUGAGACUCUGUCUCAA